GCUCACACAGCAUUAGCUGCUUUCCAAAUGGACCCAACUCACUCUUCACAAUCCCUUGGCCUCUUUCUACACCCCCUCCCUACGUCCAAUUCUUCAGAUUCUUCGAACGUGAGCUCAUCUCAGCCUCACCCGUGUCUGCUCACACACACACCCACUCAGCACCUCCCUGAAUGUUCUGAGAGACCUGCAGCUCUCUGUUCCUUUCCAGCCCAGUGCUGGCCCCAGGGCCUGUGACCCUGGCUGGGAGAGGUGACUGUACUCUUGUGAAGCCUUGGCUGUGACAGUGGGCGGACCGCGGGGCAGAGCCUGAUUCCAGAGCCGAGGCUGCUCCAGGGACGCCCAGCCCCACGGGCGGGGAGGGUGUAACAGUGGCAUCAGUGAUUCAACGGACUUGAGUCUGAGCAAACUCCAGAAGAUGGUGAAGGACAGGGAAGCUUGGUAUGCUGCAGUCCAGGGGGUCACAGAGAGUCGGACACGACUGAGCAACUGAACAACUUCCAUCUACAUUCCACAUGUUAUGACCAUACUGGAGCUACCUUCAAGGAUGUCAAUUUCACAAAAUCUCCCAGGUUAACUUACAAUGUCAGUCCUUGUUGACAAGAAAUUCAACUUUAGAUAUAACCUAUAACCCUGAUGCUGGGAAAGAUUGAAUGCAGGAGGAGGAGGAGAGGACGACAGAGGAUGAAGAGGUUGGAUGGCAUCACCAACUCAAUGGGCAUGAGUUUGAGCAAGCUCUGGAAGACGAUGAAGGACAGGGAAGCCUGGCAUGCUGCAAUCCACCGGGUUGCAAAGAGUUGGACACAACUGAACAACUAAACAACAAUUACCCUUUCUGCACUAAGCAGAGCUCAUUUUCUAGAGAAUAUCUCAUAAUUUCUUUGGUAGUUCACUUUCCUUCUUCAACUGAAUAAUGCAUUUUUCAAAACUUUCUGCCUAUCCCCAUGUGUCAUUGCCCAACUUUAAUUUGCUUUUAUUUUAUGGUUUGCUUCUAAUCUAGAGGUUUUCUAAGACUCAGGCUAUUGCACCCAAAAUGUGCUUUAAUCUAAACUGGACUUGCCUUUUACUUUUUUCCCAAUAUUGUUUCCAUCUCUCGGUCAUUUCUCCUUCUCCAGAGAUGCCAAGAUUUCAGUCCAUCCUCUGGACAGUUAGAGAUUCAUUUCAUCACCUCUCCACUAACAGCCACACACAACUAAACAGCAGUGACAUAAGACUAUUCUUUUGGCGAGCAGUUUAUGCUCAAAAAUUGCCAUUUCCUCCUCUACCUGCUCC